AGGGAAUAUUGCACAAUGGAGGAAACUCUGAUGCAGCGACGCCGCGUGAGUGAUGAAGGACUUCGGUUCGUAAAGCUCUGUUGCAAGGGAAAAAGUUCUGAUUGUACCUUGUGAGGAAGGAUCGGCUAACUUCGUGCCAGCAGCCGCGGUAAGACGAGGGAUCCUAGCGUUGUUCGGAAUCAUUGGGCGUAAAGCGGGUGUAGGUGGCUUUGUAAGUCAGGUGUGAAAUCCCAGGGCUUAACCCUGGAAGUGCAUUUGAUACUGCGAAGCUUGAGUGCCGGAGAGGUUAUUAGAAUACCUGGUGUAGUGGUGAAAUACGUAGAUAUCAGGUGGAACACCGGAGGCGAAGGCGGAUAACUGGCCGGACACUGACACUCAGACCCGAAAGCGUGGGGAUCAAAC
rnacentral:rRNA from 1 species